UAGCCUAGUGGUUAAGGCUGUGGAUCGCCAAUCCAGAGACGGCGGGUUCGAUUCCUGU
rfam:Aedes albopictus isolate Foshan contig8545, whole genome shotgun sequence.